GAAGGUAUAGCUCAAGUGGUAGAGCACAUGCUUAGUAUGCAUGAGGUCCUGGGUUCAAUCCCUGGUACUGCCU
rnacentral:tRNA from 1 species